CACGUAGGGCGCAAGCGUUAUCCGGAUUCACUGGGUUUAAAGGGUGCGUAGGCGGGCAGGUAAGUCAGUGGUGAAAUCUCCGGGCUUAACCCGGAAACUGCCGUUGAUACUAUCUGUCUUGAAUAUCGUGGAGGUAAGCGGAAUAUGUCAUGUAGCGGUGAAAUGCUUAGAUAUGACAUAGAACACCGAUUGCGAAGGCAGCUUACUACACGAUCAUUGACGCUGAGGCACGAAAGCGUGGGGAGCAAACAGG
rnacentral:rRNA from 1 species